UCUGUUUUCUCUAGAGGGUUAUACAUAACGGCAGCGAGCGCUCACACCUGGAACGAAAAAUUCAAGACUGGGCAUGUGGACUGGAAUAUAUGAUUUUCCCAAGUCUGCAUUUAGAAGAGUGAACUGCCAGAACAUCUGCGCUUGUUUUGGACAAGAGACUAAAGAAACAAAGGCCCUGUCCCUGGAGCCAAAAGAAUCCCCAUGUGUUGUUAGGAGUGUAGUGCCGAAGACACAGCUGAACAAGAUGAACUCCAUUUUACCAGAAGCAUUGACACAAAUGGAAAUUUAAAUGAUAGAUCUGAAAAUGCCAAUCGUGUCGACAUGGGAGGAAGGUGCCAACAUGCCGUUGACAGACACACCGAGUUACGCCGGUUGAACACCUACUCCCGUAUCGUCAGGAGGCCAACCUGUGGCUCGCUAACUGUGCCUUGCUCACAGCUUGUUCAAACCUGACUCCCAUGUUGGAGCCAUCCUGUCACUGUCACUAUGUUCCUAAUACUCAGCUGUGGGAGAAAACUAGCCAGGAAGGGCUGCUGAGGCCAACAGUGCCAGGUCACCUGAGCAAGCAGGAGAUCUCUGAGGAGAUUCUCAGGGAAGAUCCUAGGAUGACAUCUAAGGAUCUCUGAGGACGUAGAUCUACUGUCUCCUACCUGGAAGCUGGUCCCAGAGCCCUCCGGACUCUUGGUUCUUUGAGGUAUGUGUCUUGGGGCUACUGGACCUAGGAAGAUUCUCACAUAUGCAGUUGAUGGCAAAAUAAAAGGUGGCCACUGCUGCUUGAUUGCUUCUGU
rnacentral:lncRNA from 1 species